rnacentral:rRNA from 1 species
CCUACGGGAGGCAGCAGUGGGGAAUAUUGCGCAAUGGGCGAAAGCCUGACGCAGCGACGCCGCGUGAGGGAUGAAGGUCUUCGGAUCGUAAACCUCUGUCAGCAGGGAAGAACGGUCACUGUGCUAAUCAGCAGUGAAUUGACGGUACCUGCAAAGGAAGCACCGGCUAACUCCGUGCCAGCAGCCGCGGUAAUACGGAGGGUGCGAGCGUUAAUCGGAAUUACUGGGCGUAAAGCGCUCGUAGGCGGUAUGUCAAGUCAAGGGUGAAAUCCCCGCGCUCAACGUGGGAACUGCCUUUGAAACUGGCAAACUGGAGUGUGUGAGAGGAUAGUGGAAUUCCAGGUGGAGGAGUGAAAUGCGUAGAUAUCUGGAGGAACAUCAGUGGCGAAGGCGACUAUCUGGCACAUAACUGACGCUGAGGAGCGAAAGCGUGGGUAGCAAACAGGAUUAGAUACCCUGGUAGUC